AUUGCAUCUCUCUGACCACCCUUCCUUCCACAGUCACAUUUCCCUCUGACUACAGCCCGCCAUCAGAAUAUUCCAUGAUUCAUUUACUCUUUCAUUCAACAAACAUGUGGAGCCAGGCAGUGCAACAAUCAGGCAAAAAUCCUGGUGGAAAGGGGAAGAUUGGCAAGGAACAAUAAAUUUGCCAUGGCCCCCCAGGUUAAAUGUCAGAUAACCUGAGCAUGCCCAGAUCAACCAAGUAUGCAAACAUGCUGGAACCUGUUCUCAGACUGAGAGCAAAGACUGAAUUAAGACAUGGACACUGGGAAGAUGCAGUGGCUCACUACUGGAAUCCCAACACUUUGGGAGGUUGAGGCAGGAGAAUCACUUGAGCCUGGAAGUUUGAGACCAGCCUGGGCAACAGAGCAAGACCUUGUCUCUACAAAAUAAAAAAUAAAAACUUAAUUGGGUGUGGUGGCACUCACCUAUGGCCCCAGCUACUCAAGAGGCUGAGGCAAGAGCAUCAUUUGAGCCCAGGAGGUCAAGGCUGCAGUGAGCCAUGGUCAUGCCAUGUGCUCCCGCCUGGGCAACAGAGCAACACCCUGUCUCAAAAGAAAAAGGAGGAGAAGGAGAGGGAGAAAAAGAAACAGAGGAUCCAAUGAGAUCAAGCCCUGGCAUUUCCCCAUGGCAGGACCAAAUCAGAUCAUCACCUCACUGCAAGAUCCAAUCAGAUCACACCUCAUUACCUUAUGCUUAUAAAACCUGACCCAACCCCCAACUUAGAGAGACAGAUUUGAGCAUUUCCUCUUGUCUUCUUGCUAGUUGACUUGCAAUAAAUCUUUCCU